UAGGGAAUCUUCCGCAAUGGACGCAAGUCUGACGGAGCAACGCCGCGUGAGUGAAGAAGGAUUUCGGUUCGUAAAACUCUGUUGUUAGAGAAGAACAGCGCAUAGAGUAACUGUUAUGCGUGUGACGGUAUCUAACCAGAAAGCCACGGCUAACUACGUGCCAGCAGCCGCGGUAAUACGUAGGUGGCAAGCGUUGUCCGGAUUUAUUGGGCGUAAAGCGAGCGCAGGCGGUCAAUUAAGUCUGAUGUGAAAGCCCCCGGCUCAACCGGCGAGGGUCAUUGGAAACUGGUUGACUUGAGUGCAGAAGAGGAGAGUGGAAUUCCAUGUGUAGCGGUGAAAUGCGUAGAUAUAUGGAGGAACACCAGUGGCGAAGUCGACUCUCUGGUCUGUAACUGACGUUGAGGCUCGAAAGCGUGGGUAGCAAGCAGG
rnacentral:rRNA from 1 species